rnacentral:rRNA from 1 species
UACGGGGGGGGGCAAGCGUUGUUCGGAAUUACUGGGCGUAAAGGGCGCGUAGGCGGCCUGCUAAGUCGAACGUGAAAUCCCCGAGCUCAACUCGGGAACUGCGUCCGAUACUGGCAGGCUUGAAUCCGGGAGAGGGAUGCGGAAUUCCAGGUGUAGCGGUGAAAUGCGUAGAUAUCUGGAGGAACACCGGUGGCGAAGGCGGCAUCCUGGACCGGCAUUGACGCUGAGGCGCGAAAGCCAGGGGGAGCAAACGGG